AACACCUCCCCUUCUACUGCAUUGGUGUACUAAGAUUCGUCAUGGAAAGUGGUAACAAGGGUUGUUAGGUUCUCUUGAUAUCCUGGUUACUUUGGAGCUUACACCUUAGUGAGAGGCAUGAUAGUCUCAAAGCAUUUUUUAUAUGUUUCUUUUGGUUUGGCAUCAGCUCUGCAGUUUUAACAUUUCAGUUCUUGCCUAUCAAACGUUGUCG